UAAAAUAACGAAGACCAUUAAGCCAGACUAAACAAUAUCUCACUAGUAUACAAAGAAUAUGAUAAAUUAGUGCGCGUUAUUCGAAAAUUAUUCAUUCUAUACAUUUGUAACUUAGGAAGAAUUUUAGAAAAAAAAUAAAACAGAAAAAUUUCAUACCUCAAAUGGCUACUGGAGUUGAUAAUCAGCUGAAACCUACAGGUGAAAAUGGUUUCCAUAGCAAUAAUCUGCUUUGCUCUGUUCUGGUUUCAUAUUUGGAUCAAAUAAUUAAGAGAAAUUAGACGGGAAAAUCAAAUCAAAUAAAAAAGAAGAGUGAAGAAUCCCUGUCAUUAAGCUUCCGUUACAUAUUCAAAGAAUCUUCAGUAGAAAUACGGCUAAUAAAUAUAGAACGGAGACGGAGGAAGGUGGGUCGAUUGGAAACAGCCUGUGUUGUUGUUGUUGUUGGAGACGGAGGAAGGUAACAGCUCGUGGGAAGUGUUGAGGAAUUUAUACAAGGGCG
rnacentral:lncRNA from 1 species